UUAAAGCUCCCUUCGGGGAGUGCAUAAAGCGGCGCACGGGUGAGUAACACGUAAGUAAUCUACCCUCGGGUGGGGAAUAACGUCCGGAAACGGACGCUAAUACCGCAUAAUGCAGCGGCACCGCAAGGUGACAGUUGUUAAAGGAGCAAUCCGCCUGGGGAGGAGCUUGCGGCAGAUUAGCUUGUUGGUAAGGUAACGGCUUACCAAGGCUACGAUCUGUAUCCGGUCUAAGAGGACGGUCGGACACACUGACACUGAAUAACGGGUCAGACUCCUACGGGAGGCAGCAGUCGGGAAUUUUGGGCAAUGGGGGAAACCCUGACCCAGCAACGCCGCGUGAAGGAUGAAGUAUCUCGGUAUGUAAACUUCGAAAGAAUAGGAAGAAUUAAUGACGGUACUAUUUAUAAGGUCCGGCUAACUACGUGCCAGCAGCCGCGGUAAUACGUAGGGACCAAGCGUUGUUCGGAUUUACUGGGCGUAAAGGGCGCGUAGGCGGCGCGGUAAGUCACUUGUGAAAUCUCUGAGCUUAACUCAGAACGGCCAAGUGAUACUGCAGUGCUAGAGUGUGGAAGGGGCAAUCGGAAUUCUUGGUGUAGCGGUGAAAUGCGUAGAUAUCAAGAGGAACACCUGAGGUGAAGACGGGUUGCUGGGCCAACACUGACGCUGAGGCGCGAAAGCCAGGGGAGCAAACGGGAUUAGAUACCCCGGUAGUCCUGGCCCUAAACGAUGAAUACUUGGUGUCUGGAGUUUUAAUGCUCCGGGUGCCGUCGCUAACGUUUUUAGUAUUCCGCC
rnacentral:rRNA from 1 species